ACCUGGGUGGCUCAGUUGUUAAGCAUCUGACUUUGGCUCAGGUCAUGAUCUCACGGUUUGUGAGUUCAAGUCCCACCUUGGGUA
rnacentral:tRNA from 1 species